UAAGACGAGCUCUCCAAACGUUAUUCGGUAUCACUGGGCUUAAAGAGUUCGUAGGCGGCUCCGUAGGUGAGGUGUGAAAGCCCUCGGCUCAACCGAGGAAUUGCGCUUCAAACCGUGGGGCUUGAGGGAGACAGGGGUAAGCGGAACAGAUGGUGGAGCGGUGAAAUGCGUUGAUAUCAUCUGGAACACCGGUGGCGAAAGCGGCUUACUGGGUCUCUUCUGACGCUGAGGAACGAAAGCUAGGGUAGCGAACGGGAUUAGAUACCCCGGUAGUCCUAGCCGUAAACGAUGAGCACUAGUCUGUGGGGACUUUCACAUCCUCUCGGACGUAGCGAAAGUGUUAAGUGCUCCGCCUGGGGAGUAUGGUCGCAAGGCUG
rnacentral:rRNA from 1 species